AAUAAAGUCAGGAUGGAGGUCUUUACCAAGUUCUUAGAAGAAAUGGGCCAAAUAGCAAAGGGAAAUCAAACUAUAGGAUCCCCGCCCGGCUUAGCUCUUCCUUGAAGCUGGGCACCGAGACCCCCCCCCACGAGGUGCCAAGGAAGAGGUGGGCAAACAGGAGGGGGAGAAGUCAGGGC
rnacentral:lncRNA from 1 species